rnacentral:rRNA from 1 species
GAUGAACGCUGGCGGCGUGCCUAAUACAUGCAAGUCGAGCGAACAGACGAGGAGCUUGCUCCUUUUACGUUAGCGGCGGACGGGUGAGUAACACGUGGAUAACCUACCUAUAAGACUGGGAUAACUUCGGGAAACCGGAGCUAAUACCGGAUAACAUGUUGAACCGCAUGGUUCAACAGUGAAAGACGGUCUUGCUGUCACUUAUAGAUGGAUCCGCGCCGCAUUAGCUAGUUGGUAAGGUAACGGCUUACCAAGGCAACGAUGCGUAGCCGACCUGAGAGGGUGAUCGGCCACACUGGAACUGAGACACGGUCCAGACUCCUACGGGAGGCAGCAGUAGGGAAUCUUCCGCAAUGGGCGAAAGCCUGACGGAGCAACGCCGCGUGAGUGAAGAAGGUCUUCGGAUCGUAAAACUCUGUUAUUAGGGAAGAACAAAUGUGUAAGUAACUAUGCACGUCUUGACGGUACCUAAUCAGAAAGCCACGGCUAACUACGUG